CCAAUAGCGUAUAUUAAAGUUGUUGCAGUUAAAAAGCUCGUAGUUGAAUUUUAGGCCUGGCCGGACGGUCCGUCUUUGGCGAGUACUGUUCUGUCGUCGGGUCUUCCUUCUGGUGAACCAGUAUGUCCUUAAUUGGGUGCGUUGGGGAGCCAGGACCAUUACCUUGAAAAAAUUAGAGUGUUUAAAGCGGGCUAUGGCUUGAAUAGAUUAGCAUGGAAUAAUAGAAUAGGACGUUGUGGUUCUAUUUUGUUGGUUUCUAGGACCACCGUAAUGAUUAAUAGGGAUAGUUGGGGGCAUUAGUAUUCAAUUGUCAGAGGUGAAAUUCUUGGAUUUAUUGAAGACUAACUAUUGCGAAAGCAUUUGCCAAGGAUGUUUUCAUUAAUCAAGAACGAAAGUUAGGGGAUCGAAGACGAUCAGAUACCGUCGUAGUCUUAACCAUAAACUAUGCCGACUAGGAAUCGGGCGACGUUAUUUUCACGACUCGCUCGGCGCCUUAUG
rnacentral:rRNA from 1 species